GAUGAAGAACGUAGCGAAAUGCGAUACUUGGUGUGAAUUGCAGAAUCCCGUGAACCAUCGAGUCUUUGAACGCAAGUUGCGCCCGAAGCCAUUAGGCCGAGGGCACGCCUGCCUGGGCGUCACACGUCGUUGCCCCCCCCAUCUACUCCUUCGGGAUUGCGGGGGGCGGAUGAUGGCCUCCCGUGCGCCUCGCCGCGCGGUUGGCAUAAAUGCCAAGUCCUCGGCGAUGCACGCCACGACAAUCGGUGGUUGCGAAACCUCGGUUGCCCGUCGUGUGCGGUCGUCGCGCAUCGAGGGCUCGAAAAAAUUGCCGGGUUCCGGCUCGGCUUUCAACGCGACCCCAGGCCAGGCGGGGUUACCCGCUGAAUUUAAGCAUAUCAAUAAGCGGAGGA
rnacentral:misc_RNA from 1 species